rnacentral:rRNA from 1 species
UACGUAGGGUGCGAGCGUUGUCCGGAAUUAUUGGGCGUAAAGAGCUUGUAGGUGGUUUGUCGCGUCUGCUGUGAAAAUCCGAGGCUCAACCUCGGACUUGCAGUGGGUACGGGCAGACUAGAGUGUGGUAGGGGAGACUGGAAUUCCUGGUGUAGCGGUGAAAUGCGCAGAUAUCAGGAGGAACACCGGUGGCGAAGGCGGGUCUCUGGGCAAUAACUGACGCUGGAGGAGCGAAAGCGUGGGGAGCGAACAGG